AGAGCGCAAGGGGAAUGCCUUGGCAUCAGGAGCCGACGAAGGACGUGACAAGCUGCGAUAAGCUUCGGGGAGGAGCAAAUAUCCGUUGAUCCGGAGAUUUCCGAAUGGGGAAACCCACGUAGGCAAUACCUACGUAUCGUGCGUUGAAUCAAAUAGGCGUACGAGGGGAACGCCCUGAACUGAAACAUCUAAGUAGGGGCAGGAAAAGACAUCAACCGAGAUUCCGCAAGUAGUGGCGAGCGAACGCGGAGGAGGCCAAACCGGUGGAUUUAUUCACCGGGGUUAGGACUUGCAUCACGAUCAGAGGAGCUUAACAGAACGGCAUGGGAAGGCCGGCCACAGAGGGUGAGAGCCCCGUAAGUGAAAAGUGAGACUGACAGCGAGUAUCCAGAGUACCGCGGGACACGUGAAACCCCGCGGGAAGAAGGGUGGACCACCAUCCAAGCCUAAAUACUACCUGAUGACCGAUAGAGGAGCAGUACCGUGAGGGAAAGGUGAAAAGGACCCCGGGAGGGGAGUGAAAGAGAACCUGAAACCUUGUGCUUACAAGCACUCAAAGCACGUUAAAGUGUGAUGAGGUACUUUUUGUAGAACGGUCCGGCGAGUUAUAGUAACGAGCAAGCUUAAGGUAUUCAGUACCGGAGGCGAAGCGAGAGCGAGUCUGAAUAGGGCGCAUAAAGUUCGUUGCCAUAGACCCGAAACCGGGUGACCUAACCAUGAGCAGGCUGAAGUGAGAGUAAAAUCUCAUGGAGGGCCGAACGCACGUUCGUUGCAAUGACCGGCGAUGACUUGUGGUUAGCGGAGAAAUUCCAAUCGAACUCGGAGAUAGCUGGUUCUCCCCGAAAUAGCUUUAGGGCUAGCCUCGAUUUAGAUUAUUGGGGGUAGAGCACUGAAUGGGCUAGGGGGCCACAAAGCUUACUGAACCCUAUCAAACUGCGAAUACCAAUUAAUUGAUGAUCGGGAGUCAGACAGUGAGAGAUAAGUUCCAUUGUCGAAAGGGAAACAGCCCAGAUCCACGACUAAGGUCCCAAAAUACACGUUAAGUGGAAAAGGAUGUGCAGUUGCACAGACAACCAGGAUGUUGGCUUAGAAGCAGCCACUCAUUCAAAGAGUGCGUAAUAGCUCACUGGUCGAGUGAAUGUGCGCCGAAAAUAUACCGGGGCUAAACGUGAUACCGAAGUCUGGGGAUCAAGAAAUUGAUCGGUAGGGGAGCAACGCAUACGGACAGAAGCAGAAGCGGGAGCGACUGUGGACUGUAUGGGAGAGAGAAUGCCGGCAUGAGUAGCGAGAGCAAAGUGAGAAUCUUUGCCGUCGAAAGCCUAAGGUUUCCUGAGGAAGGCUCGUCCUCUCAGGGUAAGUCGGGACCUAAGCCGAGGACAAGAGUCGUAGGCGAUGGACAACAGGUUGAUAUUCCUGUACCGUACUUAAGCGUUUGACUGAAGCAGUGACACAGAAGGAUAGACAGACCGGGGGAAUGGUAGACUCCGGCCAAGCAGUGAGGCUGACAUGUAGUGAAGUACGCAUGUUAAGGCUGGGCUGUGAUGGGGACUGAAGAUUAGUAAGGAAGCUGUUGAAUUCACACUGGCGAGAAAAGCUGCUAAGGAGCGAGAGUAUGCCCGUACCGCAAACCGACACAGGUAGGCGAGGAGAGAAUCCUAAGACGAGCGGGAGAACCCUUGUUAAGGAACUCGGCAAAAUGACUCCGUAACUUAGGGAGAAGGAGUGCCUCGAGAGAGGCCGCAGAGAAUAGGCCCAAGCGACUGUUUACCAAAAACACAGGUCUGUGCGAAGUAGAGAUACGACGUAUACGGGCUGACGCCUGCCCAGUGCCGGAAGGUUAAGGGGAAGUGUUAGGGCAACCGAAGCACGGAACUUAAGCCCCGGUGAACGGCGGCCGUAACUAUAACGGUCCUAAGGUAGCGAAAUUCCUUGUCGGGUAAGUUCCGACCCGCACGAAUGGUGUAACGAUUUGGGUACUGUCUCAACAAGGGACCCGGCGAAAUUGUAGUAUGUGUGAAGAUGCACAUUACCCGCGAUAGGACGGAAAGACCCCGUAGAGCUUUACUGUAGUUUAACAUUGGAUUCCGGUAACAUAUGCACAGGAUAGGUGGGAGGCGGAGAAGCAGUGAUUUCGGUUGCUGCAGAGCCGACGUUGGGAUACCACUCUUGUGUUACUGGGGUUCUAACCUGUGGCCGUGAUCCGGCACAGGAACAGUGUUAGAUGGGCAGUUUGACUGGGGCGGUCGCCUCCAAAAGAGUAACGGAGGCGUCCAAAGGUUCCCUCAGAAUGGUUGGAAACCAUUCGAAGAGUACAAAGGCAGAAGGGAGCCUGACUGCGAGACCGACAGGUCGAGCAGGGACGAAAGUCGGGCUUAGUGAUCCGGCGGUAUAGAGUGGAAUUGCCGUCGCUCAACGGAUAAAAGCUACCUCGGGGAUAACAGGCUUAUCUCCCCCAAGAGUCCACAUCGACGGGGAGGUUUGGCACCUCGAUGUCGGCUCGUCGCAUCCUGGGGCUGGAUUAGGUCCCAAGGGUUUGGCUGUUCGCCAAUUAAAGCGGCACGCGAGCUGGGUUCAGA
rnacentral:rRNA from 1 species